rnacentral:rRNA from 1 species
UACGUAGGGUGCGAGCGUUAAUCGGAAUUACUGGGCGUAAAGCGUGCGCAGGCGGUUUUGUAAGCCGGAUGUGAAAUCCCCGGGCUUAACCUGGGAAUGGCAUUCGGGACUGCAAGGCUGGAGUGCGGCAGAGGAGACUGGAAUUCCUGGUGUAGCAGUGAAAUGCGUAGAUAUCAGGAGGAAUACCGAUGGCGAAGGCAGGUCUCUGGGCUAUAACUGACGCUCAUGCACGAAAGCGUGGGGAGCAAACAGG